CGACCGCUGGCGGCGUGCUUAACACAUGCACGUCGAACGGAAAGGCCCUGCUUUUGUGGGGUGCUCGAGUGGCGAACGGGUGAGUAACACGUGAGUAACCUGCCCUUGACUUUGGGAUAACUUCAGGAAACUGGGGCUAAUAUCGGAUAGGAGCUCCUGCUGCAUGGUGGGGGUUGGAAAGUUUCGGCGGUUGGGGAUGGACUCGCGGCUUAUCAGCUUGUUGGUGGGGUAGUGGCUUACCAAGGCUUUGACGGGUAGCCGGCCUGAGAGGGUGACCGGCCACAUUGGGACUGAGAUACGGCCCAGACUCCUACGGGAGGCAGCAGUGGGGAAUAUUGCACAAUGGGCGGAAGCCUGAUGCAGCAACGCCGCGUGCGGGAUGACGGCCUUCGGGUUGUAAACCGCUUUCGCCUGUGACGAAGCGUGAGUGACGGUAAUGGGUAAAGAAGCACCGGCUAACUACGUG
rnacentral:rRNA from 1 species